rnacentral:rRNA from 1 species
ACUAGGCAUCUUUUUAUUAUAGACCCAGAAAUGGGAUAACUGACCAGGAUAAUGGGAGGGUUUCUAUAAGGAAACUAUGAAGAUUACCGAGAGGUGAUAAUAGUAGUAACAGUGAAAUGAUACAUCUGAGUAACUGUAAAAAACCAAGAGGGUUUAUACAAGUAAUGGUGAAUGAAAGUAUAAAACAUAAGAAUCAGUGAUGAGGAUUGUGUGAUAACGAUUGGUGUUCGGUGAAAGUACCGGAGAAAUUAAAGAUGACCGAUAGUGGAAAGUACUGAGAAGGAACGUAAGAAACUGGAAUGUAAAAUAAGUAGUGUUGAUAGGCGUACCUUUUGCAUAAGGGCUUGACAAGUUUAUCUGUAUGGCGAGCUGAAAGGCGUAGAGAAAUCGUAAUAGUCAUGCGGUUAAGACCCGAAACGGACUGAACUAAUCUUGGCCAGAUAUAAUGAUCGAAUCCGUGUCUGUGGCAAUAGACUGGAGUGAGUUAAGAUUAGAGGUGAAAUGCCAAUCAAAGUCCGCGAUAGCUGGUUCUAGGCGAAACGUGUUUUAGCACGGCGUGUUUUAAUGAGUAAGUGGGGUAGAGGUUAUAUAUUUAAUGUAUGUAAACUGUCGAAUACGCUUAUGAAGGAAAUGCAGACGGACUAUGGAUGCGAAAGUCAAUGGUCGAGAGGGUAACAACCCAGAAUAAUGGAUAAGGUAAUAAAUGGCGGUUAUACAAGAAAGAUUUAUGUAUCGAAGACGGGGUAUCAGUAACCUUGAAAGUAGGAAUCUGUGAGACAACGUGUAAUAACGGGAACUCAAGAGAUAUGUAGAUUUGAGAAUGUAGAGAAGGACGUCAACCGAAGCCGUAUUGUUAGAGGAAACUUUAAUGGGUAGCCGAGCAAUCUGUAAGGCGUGUAUAUUAGAUAUAAUAACACAAGAUCUAAGCAGAUAAGAGAAUGUCAAGAUGAGUAACCAAGAUUUAGAUCUAGUUUAAAGUGUAAGUGUAUGCGAUUAAGGUUGAAAAUCAAGAUCAGCGUAAAACGGUACCUAAGGGGAAACUGAGAAGUGUACUUGAUGGGUGGUAUGCAGUGAAGUAUAUGAUUUUAUAUACCAGGAAAAACUGGCAUGGAAAAGAAACCGUAAUAAAACCGACACAGGUACAUUAGUGUAAGCGCAUGACAACUAGGCGGAAGGUUUAUUAAGGAAUUCGGCAAAAUAACAAGGUAACUUCGGGAGAACUUGGGAGAAUACGUGAGAAAUGUAUUUUUAGCAUGUAAUGGUGUUCAGUGACUGUUUAACAAAAACAUAGGUAACCGUAACCUUGAAAGGGGUAAAAGGGUUGCUGACGUCUGCCCGGUGCUUAGAGAUAACCAUCAAAUGGGUAAGGAUGAUAAGGGAGAGUAAACGGCGGCGAUAACUAUAAUCGUCCGAAGGUAGCGAAAUUCCUUGGCUAUUAAUUGUAGUCCUGCAUGAAGACGUAACAACUGAACGACUGUCUUAAUAACUUAGUCGGUGAAAUUGGAAUGGUUGUGAAGAUACAGCCGUAUUACAAGAAAGACGAAAAGACCCUGUACACCUUAACUGGGGGCAUAUAUACGGAAUGUAAAGGAGAAAGCAGUGGAAACGGUGGUAUAGAAAUAUACAGAAGUGAAAGACCGUAAUCUGUAAACAGGAAGUGAUAGAGUAUAUGUUGGCUAGUUUACAUGGGGCGUGGGCCUCUAAAAGAGUAACAGAGGUUAGCAUAUGGCAUGUGUACUAAAAAGGAAGCGUGCUUGACAGUCAAGAAUAAGGUAGAACCGAUCUAACUAAAAAUUCGAAGAGGGACACCUCAGACUGGUAUGGGUGGAAUUAAUGAGAAUUAAUAAAACCUGUAGGCUUUAAAUAUCCGGUAUAACUGAUAAAUAAGUAUAUCGCAAAAGAAUAAAAGGUACGUCAGGGAUAACAGGCUAAUGUUCUUUCAGAGAUCAAAUCGAUGAGAACGUUUGGUACCUCGAUGUUGCAUCGUCGCAACCUACGGCAGGAGAAGGUCGUAAGGGUUUGGGUGUUCACCAAUGAAAGCGGCACGUGAUGUGAGUUAAGAGCGUCGUGAGACAGUUCGGAUUCUAUCUUCUUGUAACCAUAAGAUUAAGGGGGACUUUAGUACGAAAGGACUAAGGACUACGUAUCACUGGUGUAAGUAUUGCUUCGAGAGGUGCAAGGUAUAAUAGCUACAUACGGAAAGGAGUAUCACUGAAAGCAUAUAGGUGAGAAACAACUUAUGAAAUAUGGGGUAGGUCCAAGAAUAGGACUAAAAAGGUACUCAGAGAUUCGAAAAGAAACGGGUAUCUGAA